rnacentral:rRNA from 1 species
GACGAACGCUGGCGGCGUGCCUAAUACAUGCAAGUCGAACGCAUUUUCUUUCACCGUUUCUUGCUACACCGAUAGAAAGUGAGUGGCGAACGGGUGAGUAACACGUGUGUAACCUGCCCAUCAGCGGGGGAUAACACUUGGAAACAGGUGCUAAUACCGCAUAAUUCCAUUUACCGCAUGGUAGAUGGAUGAAAGGCGCUUUUGCGUCACUGAUGGAUGGACCCGCGGUGCAUUAGCUAGUUGGUGGGGUAACGGCCUACCAAGGCUGCGAUGCAUAGCCGACCUAGGAGGAUGAUCGGCCACACUGGGAGCGAGACCCGCCCCACACUCCUUCGGGAGGCAGCCGUAGGGAACCUUAGGAAAAGGACGCAAGACUGACCGAGCAACGCCGCGUGCGUGAAGAACGUUAUCGGAUUGUAACUCUCUGUUAUUAGCGAAGAACAAGGAUGAGAGUGGAAAGUUCAGCGCUUGACGGUAACUAAACAGAAAGCCACGGCUAACUACGUG